CUACAGCCUCUUUGAAAUUGUCAAUUGCUGGAUGUUGUAAUUUUCCCCCUCUACAGGCUGAACAAUCAAAGGAGGAACAGAAACAGGGUUUAAGUGCUGAAAAAUUGAUGAGAAAAGCUUCCAAGGAUGUGUGUCGGUUACGGGAACAGAGCCAGAAAGUGCCACUGCAAGUGCAGUCGUUCAGGGAGAAGAUAGCUUACUUCACAAGAGCGAAGAUCAACAUACCAUCCCUACCAGCAGAUGAUGUAUAAUUACAUUUUUCACUGAAGUAUUUUUUCCCUCGCUCAUCUUUUUAGAUGAACGUUUUAUAGUUAGAACCUCCUGCUUUUAAAGAUCUUCUAUUUUACAUCCGACUAUAAAGAUGUUCAUUUGUAAAAUACAGCGAACUGAGUUCUUGUCUGUUAAAAGGCGCCAAACAAACAAACAAACCACAACUAGCAGAAAACCAAAGUGGAACACUUCUGGUACACGGAUGCUAAUUUUGUACAGUUUGUAUGUAUCGCAUGUGUGCUCUUAUUUUGUAAAGAUGGAACAAAGGAAAGUGUGUAUCCUGUUGAACCGCACUGUGUUGAGAAAUAUUACGUUCAACAGAAGAUUGUUUGUCUUUUCACUAUUUUCACAUGAGCAGACUGUGAAGAUGGCUGUUAUGCCAUGCAAUAUUUUUGUACAAGUGUGACUUUUAUAGUUGGAAAUUAACCAUGAAUGCAAGCUCCUUUCCAAAACAGCAAGGCUGCCUCGUAACAGGUGCUCUUUAGAUUUCCAUCACCUACGUUGGGAUUUUGUUUCUGAAAACCAUUUCCUGACUGUCCUUUUUAUUUCUGUGAAGAAAGAAGGUGGAGUACUGAGUGCAGGAGUAUAAUUUUGUGAAUGUACAGUAUUUUGGGCUGCACUGUACAGUACUUUGCCUCUGCAAGGUGGGGAGGGGAAAGGGCAGACCAGUAACCCUAAAACCUCUUACAGUGACACUACCAAAAGGGCAGCUGCUUUCUGAAACUGAAGCUGAAUCAAAUUCACAUCAAAGUGUUUAUAGAUGAGUAGUCAUACCACUGCGCUGUCAAAUCGUACGUUUAAAUGUAACCUUUUGACCUAAAUGUUGUCUACUUUUGUCAACAAGCAGUAUGUAGAAAAGAUCAGGUUCAUGAAAAAUUAAACCCGUGCUGUUGUCAGAAGAGGAAAAACUACCCAUCAAAUUCAAAAUGAAUCCACUGACGCAAGUACCGGAAGUAUUGUUGGUGUAGAAAUCCAUGCUGGAAAAAUCUGUGACCUAGAAACCAUAAACUGUUUCAGUUGGGUAUGUACUCCAGUUCUCAUUACCUUUUUUUAAGUAAAUGAAACACAAGCUGUUUUUCAGAAUAAUGAUGGUUCAAGUUGAACAAACUUAAGGAGUAAAUGUGAACAAGAUGUCUAUCAAAAUAGAAUUUUCGCUUAUCUGACCAGACCUUUUUGUUUCACAAUGUGGAUGUGCUUGUCAUCGUCCCUGGGGAAGCAUGCGACUGCAUCAGAUCUGGAACAAAGCAUCUACAACACGCUGUUGGGUAAAACAAAACUUUGUGGUUGAUCUUAUAGCGAAAACAAUGUAACUCAACUUGUAUCUACAGUACCUAAUCUCUGAAGGUUUUUGAAAAAAAUGUUAAAUUCAAAGAUUUUUUCUUUUUUCUAUGGAUAGAAUCUUUGUCCUUAACCUACAGAUUAUAUUGACAAGCCACCUAUACAUAGCACUUCACUUUUCCAGAAAAUAAUUAGCCUUGUUGAAAGAUGAAGAGAACAUAGCUACAAUAUGUUUGCGAAUGUCAAGGUAAGAAAAUUCUGUGCCUAGAAUCUUUUGUUAAACACACCAAGGAUUUUCUUCUGAUACACAAAUACAUUUAAAGGAUUUGAAAUAAUAAAUGUAUAACUGGAUGCCACACAGUUCUGAACAAGUGCCAGUCAGGCCAACUGACUGAGCAUCAUUCUUCAUGGAUAUCCAUUUAUUGCUGUUCUUUUAACA